rnacentral:rRNA from 1 species
CCUACGGGAGGCAGCAGUGAGGAAUAUUGGUCAAUGGACGAGAGUCUGAACCAGCAAAGUAGCGUGAAGGAUGACUGCCCUCUGGGUUGUAAACUUCUUUUAUAUGGGAAUAAAAUGUUCCACGUGUGGGAUUUUGUAUGUACCCUAUGAAUAAGGAUCGGCUAACUCCGUGCCAGCAGCCGCGGUAAUACGGAGGAUCCGAGCGUUAUCCGGAUUUAUUGGGUUUAAAGGGAGCGUAGGUGGAUUGUUAAGUCAGUUGUGAAAGUUUGCGGCUCAACCGUGAAAUUGCAGUUGAAACUGGCAGUCUUGAGUACAGUAGAGGUGAGCGGAAUUCGUGGUGUAGCGGUGAAAUGCUUAGAUAUCACGAAGAACUCCGGUUGCGAAGGCGGCUCACUGGACUGCAACUGACACUGAGGCUCGAAAGUGUGGGUAUCAAACAGGAUUAGAUACCCGAGUAGUC